rnacentral:rRNA from 1 species
AGUGAACGCUGGCGGUAGGCCUAACACAUGCAAGUCGAACGGCAGCACAGUAAGAGCUUGCUCUUACGGGUGGCGAGUGGCGGACGGGUGAGGAAUACAUCGGAAUCUACUUUUUCGUGGGGGAUAACGUAGGGAAACUUACGCUAAUACCGCAUACGACCUACGGGUGAAAGCAGGGGAUCUUCGGACCUUGCGCGAUUGAAUGAGCCGAUGUCGGAUUAGCUAGUUGGCGGGGUAAAGGCCCACCAAGGCGACGAUCCGUAGCUGGUCUGAGAGGAUGAUCAGCCACACUGGAACGGAGACACGAUCCAGACUCCUACGGGAGGCAGCAGUGGGGAAUAUUGGACAAUGGGCGCAAGCCUGAUCCAGCCAUACCGCGUGGGUGAAGAAGGCCUUCGGGUUGUAAAGCCCUUUUGUUGGGAAAGAAAAGCAGCAGGUUAAUACCCCGCUGUUCUGACGGUACCCAAAGAAUAAGCACCGGCUAACUUCGUG